UUGGGUUUCCCAUGAAGUUUGGAUAAACAGAAAUAAUCACUUGGUUUAGAAAGAAGGGGGACAGCAGAGGUUUCUUCUGUAGCAUAUGAGGCCUUCCUGAAACCACAAAGGGGUCUCCUUUAAAAAACAUUAAGAUAUAAUAUUUCUUGCAUCGUUAAAUCCAUAUAUUAUAUCAGAACGUAUGGUCACAGUCAUCAGUUAGUUACGAUAAAGAAUCUGUGACCAGCACCCAGGUGCAUAGAGAAUCAAUUGGGAAAAGUUGGAAAAGGGAAGUGUAACAGAACACGAGAACAUUCCUUCUGAACAACAUACAUUUAUUAUCUAAUCUAACAUCACCGAAAAAAAAAUCAUCGAUUUCUCAGUCUCAUCUUGAUACUCGUUCUAGGCAGCGCACCAGAAUGACAUCACAGAUUACCACCUCCGCUCUCAAGUUUCUCUCUUUGGGAGAAGAGCUACGGGUCCUGAGAAAGAGAUUUGACGGCGACGAUAGCAGAAGUGAUUUCUUAGAUCAACCAGCCUUCUUCUGAAACCACAGUACCAUCUCUGGGCACGCCAAGGCUCUGCCUGACAUCACCGAGCUGACUGCAGAUCUGUGGGCGGCCGUAACCUGGGUCACUGAGAUACAGUUACACUUGCAGCUCGGGAAGACCACAACACAGCAGACCAAAGAGAGAGAGGAUCACCAGCAGAGUCCUGAACACAAGGACUGAAAGUGGUCUGCUAGAAGACGAGGAAGGAGGUUAUGUUUUCGGUAGCGUUGGUUUGUUUGUUUGUUGGUUUGUUUGUUUGUUAGUUAGUUUGUCUGUUAGCAACUUUAUGGAGAAAGUAACAGACGGAUUGACCUGAAAUUUUCACCAGAGGUGCGUCUCAGCCCAAGGAGGAUCCCAUUGAAUUUUGGUGAUGAUUUGGACAAAAUUCCAGAUACUGUGAUCCAGAACACACAAAAGUAAGGGUGUCAUUGGAAUUUUCAAUGCUGAAAGAUAACCAAUGGGCAGCACAGUGGUGUAGAUAGGUGGUAAAGUGGUGUAGUGGUUAGCACUGUCACCUCACAGUAAGAAGGUCCUGGGUUCAAAUUUGGGUCAGGGCAUUUUUUGUUUUAAGAACAUUAUGAACAGUGAACAUACCAGUUUAAACACAAAUAAAUGUUAAUAAAAGACACGUAACAGUAAAAGUUUUGGUGUGAAUCACAAUAUAAGGGGGGACAUGAGCUGCUUGGCGGAGGUCUGCGCUCUCCGAGUGCUUUUCUAGUAUUAAAUCGAUUUGGUAAAGACCAAAAAAAACAAAGCUAGAGUUUAAAGACAAGCAACUUAACCCAAGUUGGUUGAUAUUCUUGCACCAGUGUCAACAAAUCCCUGUUUUCUUCGACAAAUAUUGAUGCAAUUAAACCUGUUAUCAUUAAUUUGUACAUUAUUAUCUCCAUAUGCUGCAUCCCAGAUCAGAAGUGCUUCCCUCCCAUGUUUUGUUGUAGGAUUCCUGGACAAGAUCCCCGAUCUAAGCAAGUUUUGGCUGCAGAUUCAAACCCCAAAGAUGUUUAUUUCUGCAUCUGAUUUAGCACAGCAUGAUUGCAGCAGUGCUGUCUGGGGGUGGGGUCAGAGCAAGCAGAACAAGGCCUUUGAUCAGACCAUUUUCUUGUUUGUGUUUUACAUUAUGGCAUCUUACAAAUAUGUUAAUAGUGAUGUCAACUUUCUUGUGUCCCUGGGCGGCUUCACCUCACUUUGUGAACCAAUCAUUUGAGACGUAUAUAAUUGAAUGAUCACUUGUAUAUGGUGAAAAAUACGUGCAUGUGUCCAUUUGGCAGAGAGCCCUGAAACUAAAGAAUCCAAGGGAGAAAUGUUUUAUACUGUGAUUGAAAAAAAACUUUUGUCCACUCAUGGUUUAAAACCCGUAACUUUUUACAGGUCACACUCUCUUUCCCAGGAGUUUUUCCAUCCGAAGAACAGCUUUUGUGAGUUUUCUUACAUCCCUGAAGUGUAUACCUGCACACUGACAGAGCUCGGACCCUGUGAUUUAAUUAGCUCGCCCUGUGCCGCUGUUCCCACUCCAGGCCAGGCUUUCCACUCGCAGUCCCUCUUGCUCACUUCGGCCUCCCCACAUCAGGUUCUGAUGAACCUAACUGGAAACACGUGCUCUACGCUGGCUCCCCCGACAGAUGGGACAAUAUCAUAUUAUUAAUGACAGAAAAAGAGAGACAGAGGGUGGGAGAGGGAGAGAAGGACGGGGAGGAAAAUCCUCUCUCCUCAAAGGGCUUGCCGGUCUUAAAUAGCUCAACACUGAACUGCUGUCGCUUCUGAGGAAGUUAUUAUAGGAAGGCAGCACGUCUGUGUUUGCAUAUGGAAUAUCCCCUCAAUCUGACUCAGUGCUCUGAAGGCUUAGCCCCAUGUCACUCCUGUUAAAGCUGCUGAACUCUGGACCUUCAUGGCGGCUGACAGAAUGAGGACCCAUCAAAAAGACAUAAAUGUUUGAGAUGCUAGAAAAGCAAAAACUGUUUGGUGUAGAUUGUAAUUGUUGCUGGAAACAUAAGUGUAAUGGCUGCUGUACUAUAACUACAGGUGUUUAAAUAUGAAAUAAAAAUUCAGGAGUGUGUAUGCUGUGAUUUAUGUCUGUUGUACUGAAUGAUGUAGGUGAAGGUGAUGUUGUAUAUUUGGUUGGUCUUGGAGGUUCUUCUUAGGGCCUGGCGGAGGAGAUUUAGGAUUGGGGAUCAAUCUUGGGCGUUAUCCUGCAGAGUUUAAUCCAACCCCCCAAAAAGUCGUAUUUAGAUGACGAGUUUGGUGCAAGUUGUUAAGAUUAUUUCAUGCAGAUGUUAAUGCAGCCAGAAUCAUGUGUUGGCCAGAAGAGUGGGCCAUGAGGUGAAACUGGAACAGCAUACCUGCAGGUGAUGCAUUUUGUUGGCGGUUUAUAUUGACUGAGAUGUAGAUGUAGAAAAAGACCCCAUGCUGAUAUGAAGUCCUAGAUCCAAGUGCGAAUAUAAAAAAAUCUCAAGCGUGUGUAGUGAUACUGAAUACCCCGGGAUGACAGGAUGGAUUAAAGAUGGGAGAGGUGGAGGUAAAUUCAGAACAUCUGAGGAAACUGAAGGCGGCUGGAAGAAACACGGAUUCUAGUGUAGAAGCAACCAUGGGGAGUGAAUGCAGACAACCUCCAGAGAGGGAGACGAAGAUAGCUGGUAUGUAGUGUGAUAUGACCUUAAAGGGAUAUUCCGGUGUAAAAUUAAGUUAGGGUCAAACACACCUUAACACUGAGUUAGACACCCCGUCGAGAGAUGAAUGUUGCCGACCGCUUGCUUCUCUCGUUAUACCAACUUGUUAUACCGUUAUACCGCUUGUUUGUACUGAGACCUCGGGCGAAUCCACCGACUGCAGUGGGGUGACGCAGCUCAAGGAAGAACAUUUAUGAUCAUUUCUUUAUCAUUUCCUUGAAGUAAUAACCAUCACAUAAAUCAUUUUGCUCUGCAGAUGCGGUAGUUCUUCUUUCUUAGCGUUUUGGUCUGAUUGCAUUUCCAUGAAGAAAUGAUGGAUGGAUCUCUGUAUUGCUAUCGUGCAGUCGUUACUAAAGUUGGUAUAACUGGAGAAGCAGCCAGUUAAAUAAGAAUACUGGGGACGAUAUUGUUGACUACUGCUUCUUGUCGCAACUCAUGAUAAGGGAAUCCUGGUUUCAUCUAAGCUGUAGUAAUAAUUUAUUGAGUAUUACCAGCCUUUCACUGCCAACCCCACAACUCAAACUCACUGACGUUCCUUUGGCAAAAUAGUAGACGAUGGUUUUGACUAAUUGAAUGCAGCCAAGUUUGAGUUUUAGCCACUACCGUUUUAUUCUUUGGACAUUAAAUCAACUAAAACAGUUUUAUCUCCUAUAACAACAAGAUAAAGAAGCAGAAGGAUUUCAUUAUUAUUUCAACAUGUCUCCUGCUAUCAGACUAAAUGAAUCAGCCCACUGAGCCUGAAGGGUCUCACUACAGGCUGAGUCACAAAGGACAGAUUCACCUGCUCAGAAUUACUCCUGCAGCCGGAGGCCGCAUGUGCUACCAGUGCCAGAGCAAACAAUGAGCAUGUACAGAACGAGGAGCGACGGGGCCAACUUUCAAGAUGCAAACUUGUGCUUUUUGUGGCUGGAUGGGGACAAAUCUUGUGGAAAGUCCAUUGAAGCGGCACAGGUUCCAGUACUGAAUGUCCAGAUACUUUUGUGUAUGUUGGUACGAUACACAGAUAAGUGAUUUAUAACAAACUGAGCUCCACAAUUAUCCUGCAAAACAAAGCACAUGCUGAGCGACAAUUUGGUGGUCUGCUAGUUUAAUGGCUUUUCUCAUCCCCCGUCACCACUGAUUCACUUAGUAUCAAAGUACCGGAAACUGCAUCCACACUGAGUCAAACCCCCAGAAACCACCUCUGUCUCUCUCUUUCAUUUGCCCUCCCUCUUACAAACACACACACACACACACACACACACACACAGACUCACACACGUACAGUGCACAGGAAGGGGUCCCCGGGUUUGCAGCCAAGUGACAAAGAAUUUACAGGCGUGUUGUAAGGAGCUGUAGAUCUAAGUGUGUAUGUGAGCGAGUGUGUGAGAGAGAAAGAAAGAGAAAAGGUCUGACACUUGUCUAUGAGCGCCUUAUUAAAAAGGUGAGAAGUGAGUGCAGUGUCUGGAGGAGGGGGUUAAUUGUGCUCUUAAAAGAGGACUUCAAAGGGAGGCUGGUGUCAGGGCUGAGGGGCAUGGGAGCAAGAGAGGAUGAAGAGGAAGAGAAGGAGGAGGAGGAGGAGGAGGAGGAGGAGGAGGAAAAGAUACUGUAAGUGAUGUUGGACUCAGGAAGAGAGCUGAGAAAGGGCAGGAGACGGCCGUGUGGAGGUUAUACCUAUGACUUUCAAAUGCUGUUGAGAGGAAGAAAUGAGACCGUAAUGAGGCGUCUCAAUUUAAGAAAUUCAGUCAAAAGCAGCCAAGAUGUUGUCAAACUGAAAGACUAAACUUUAAGCUGUGGAGAAGUUUAUCAGGACUAAUUUCUAAACCAAGAAUGGCUGAUUUCCAUGACAGAGAGUCUAGACAUUAAUGCCCCAGCGGAUGGAUCUUCUCUACUUUUAUUACACCCUAAUGUUUUAUUAAAUUAAGUGUCUUAAAGAGGUUAUUAAAGGGAUAUUCUGGCGUAAAAUUAAUUUAGGGUCAAAUACACUGUAGACACCCCCGCGAGAGAUGAAUGUUGCCGAUCACUUGCUUCUCUAGUUAUACCAACUUAAGUAACUUUAGUAACCAACUUUAUGAUCAUUUCUUUAUCAUUUCCUUUAAGUAAUAAUCACCAAAAUAAUCAUUUUUGCACUGCAGACGCGGUAGUUCUUCUGCCUUAACGUCUCAGUCUGAUUGCAUUUCCAUGAAGAAAUGAUCAUAAAUGUUCUUCCUUGAGCUGCGUCACCCCGCUGCAGUCCAUAAUAGACUGGCCGGAGGUCUUCGUACAAACAAACUGCUGCUGGAAGAGAGUGGGUGUGUUUUGUUUAGUCUCUGUGCUAAAGAAAUCAGGCAAAGUUAAAAAGAUGUUUGGUGGCUAGUACUAUGGCUGGGACCCUAUAUGUACUGUUGAUGAAGUUAGGUGCUGUUCUGAGCAUUAUUUGUGGCUAUAGAGUGGCGUUUUGGUUGAGGUUUGUUUAUGGCUCCUUAGACCGCUGUGUAUUGCUAUCGUGCGGUCGUGACUAAAGUUGGUAAAACUAGAGAAGCAAGAGGUCAGCAACAUUCAUCUCUCGAGGGGCUCUCUAACUCAGUGUUAUGGUGUGUUUGACCCUAGUCCUAGUUUUGAUUUCAUUUGACUCACCGGAUACUUGAAAAGGCAUCGGUUGGGCAGACUCUGUGCGAACUGAAGCUGACUAUGACACGCUUUAUUAGUUGCAAGACUAAUAACCAUUAUCAUAUUUAUUCAAACUUUAUUGUGUCUUUUUUUGCAGUGCAGUGUGUAAAGGGGCACAAAGACUGAUCAUGGCCCAAUCAGCUGCUCCUGAGUCCACAAGGGUCAUGGACCUAUGCCUGCCUAAAAUAGUAGCCAGCAUUUAAAAUCACCAUGACGAUACAGCAUAUGACGUAAACUCCUAAAAAACUUUAAGACCCUCAGACUUCAGGUUCAGACUGUGGAAUAUUUCUGAGGAAACUUUAUCGCCAUAAUCAAUAUUUCUCCUGAUUUAACACUGACAGUGCGAACACAUAAUUCAUGAGCCUUGGUUGUGCAUCACAAAUAAUUCACGUGAACAAUGCCAGCAGACAAUCAAUUGCAAUUGCACAAUCGUACUGUGUAUGCCAGGUUAGAGAGAAGCCGAUGGGUGUGUAUCAAUCAUUUAACAAACUGAGGGACAUUAAGUAUAAACUCUUCUCUUUUCACUACAAUCAAACCUCUUUGAUGGUGACAAGGUCAAACUUAAAGACCGAAACAUUCAUGAUUCAGUCAAACUCUUUGGCAGUAUCUUUAUUUGGGCUUUAAGCGCUUGUGCUCCCUGACUUUUUGAUUGGGUGUGUUAGAUGUUCGCUUGAUGAAGCAUCGACCAUGGGACCGAUUAGCAUUCUUCUAAUUGAUACCUCUGACAGACAGAUGUUGAGCAGAUGGGGAAAACACAGCUCUCAGACUAAACACAGAACUGGAGGAUUCAAGAUUCACACUGUCUGAUAUCACUGCCAUCAGAUAAAAACCUCACAACCCAAUACUGAAUAUUUUAGUAACAGAGAAAAACAGCUGUGGAACUGGCCUAUGAUUGAUUUCUGUGUGUCCUGUAAAACUGACUACAUUAUGAUCAGUGAAAUAUGAGUUUAAAGUAUAAAAAUCAGAGGUAAAAGGUUUCAUGCUCAGGAGAGUUGAUGAUAAAACUCUCUGUGGCAGAUGAGCACAACUCAAAGAGGAGGAAAUACUAAGGUGGCUUUGUUAUCACAAAAAAUAGUUUGCUCUCUCCAAAUACGCAUUUGUUUAAUCUACAAGAAGUUCUUGGCAAACCCUUUCUCUUAAAAUAUUACAUGGAAAAAGGAGAUGUUUGAAAUAUGUGACUUGGCUUCUUAGAAAAAUAAUGGCAUGUAAUAAAAUAAUCUGAAGAAAAGCAGAUGCACUCCUCAGACACACACAAGAAUACUUGAGGCAUUCCUGUAAGUAUCAGUCAAAAGCUGAUUUGUGGAUAAAUGUUUGAUAUUAUCUGGAAAGUAAAAUAAAGAGACAAACAAAGAUAAAUAAAUAUUGUAUCACUGGCUGUUCAGUUCAGAAAUUGUAUUCCGAUCAAGAAGGGUGGUUUAUGCCGAUCGUUAUUCCGAAACUCGUCCAUGUAAACACUUAUUCCGAUGAAGAUUCUCUUAUCUGACGCAGUCUUCACUCUUUGGCCUUUGGUUUAUUUAUUGAGGUCAGUUCAGGAGGUUUCAUUAUUAACACUCUGGCAUAAAACACAACCGCAGGUGCCGUGUCUGCUCCUCCGAUAACAUAACAGGGCAUACAUACAGCGUAAUGAUGUCACAUCUGCACAGUGCAACCUUUGACAGAACAGUAAAAUAAGUAAACAAGGGCGCCAUCUAGUGACGACAUUCAACAGGGGGAAAAUCCUGAAUUGGAUGGAGUGAGCCACUACCGCAUUUGUUGGUUUGUUGACAGCACAAGCGUCAAUACAACUCUUCUUCUAUGGUUGUUUAAGCGAAAUUAGACAACUCUGCGUACGUCCAAAUACUUCUAAUCUGUAUAAAACUUGGUGCAUGUAUACGUACGUCAUGAUUGGAUUAUGUGAUUUUGCACCCGUAUAGUGGAUUCAGAUCAUCCGAUCCCUCAAAUUUUUAAUCGGAUCAAGAAAUUUUUGCACAUGUAAACAUGGC
rnacentral:lncRNA from 1 species